rnacentral:lncRNA from 1 species
UACCAAGUUGUUUUCAAUGAUGCGGUUUCCAAAUCGAUGAUCGGCUCCGUUAUACUUGAUCUACACUAUUAAAAAUAUUUGGAAACUAAAUUUCAUAAUUUUUCGACAUUAUUUGGCUAGUGAUCAAAAGGUCUCAAAAUUGAUAAUUUUAAUGGUAGAUGUGAUGCAUUUGUAAGUUUAACGGUGUAAAACAAUCCAAAUCAGAUGAAAAUUUUAUAGAAAAUUAUUUUUACUAUUUAGAGUAAGAUCAGUGCUUUUGAUCUUAAAUUCAAGUCUUCUAUCAUCAUUUUUUAUGAGAUUUUUAUUUUCAGCUGUUCAUUUUUAGACUACUCGUUUGAUAGGUAAAUGAUACCGAAAAAUUAUGAAAUUUAAUUUUCAAAUACUUUCAAUAGUGUAGAUCAAGUCUGACGGAGCCGAUCGUCGAUUUGGAAUCGGCAUCAUUGAAAGCAACUUGGUAGCACGGAGGCCUCCAUGCUACCAAGUUGUUUUCAAUGAUGCGGUUUUCAAAUCGAUGAUCGGCUCCGUUAUAUUUGAUCUAGACUAUUAAAAAUAUUUGAAAAUUAAAUUUCAUAAUAUUUCGACAUUAUUUGGCUAGUGAUCAAAAGGUCUCAAAAUUGAUAAUUUUAAUGGUAUAUGUGAUGCAUUUGUAAGUUUAACGAUGUAAAACAAUCCAAAUCAGAUGAAAAUUUUAUAGAAAAUUAUUUUUACUAUUUAGAGUAAGAUCAGUGCCUCUGAUCUUAAAUUCAAGUCUUCUAUCAUUGUUUUUUAUGAGAUUUUUAUUUUCAGCCGUUUAUUUUUAGACUACUCGUUUGAGUAUAAAACUCUUACUACUCAUAAGUUGUUUUCGAUGUUGGAGUUUUCGAAUCGACGAUCCACACCGUUAAACAUGAUCUAGAGUAUUUGAAACUUCUAAAAAAUAAAUUUCAUAAAUUUUCGAAAUCAUUAUAAAGUCCAUCUAUAAAAUGAACAGUUAAAAUCGAAUGGCAUUCUAAAAAGGAUGAUCGG